UGGGGAAUUUUGGACAAUGGGCGAAAGCCUGAUCCAGCAAUGCCGCGUGUGUGAAGAAGGCCUUCGGGUUGUAAAGCACUUUUGUCCGGAAAGAAAUCCUUGGCUCUAAUACAGUCGGGGGAUGACGGUACCGGAAGAAUAAGCACCGGCUAACUACGUGCCAGCAGCCGCGGUAAUACGUAGGGUGCAAGCGUUAAUCGGAAUUACUGGGCGUAAAGCGUGCGCAGGCGGUUUGCUAAGACCGAUGUGAAAUCCCCGGGCUCAACCUGGGAACUGCAUUGGUGACUGGGCAGGCUAGAGUAUGGCAGAGGGGGGUAGAAUUCCACGUGUAGCAGUGAAAUGCGUAGAGAUGUGGAGGAAUACCGAUGGCGAAGGCAGCCCCCUGGGCCAAUACUGACGCUCAUGCACGAAAGCGUGGGGAGCAAACAGGAUUAGAUACCCU
rnacentral:rRNA from 1 species